GCGGUGAAAUGCGUAGAUAUCAGGAGGAACACCGGUGGCGAAGGCGGAUCUCUGGGCCUUACCUGACGCUCAGGCGCGAAAGCUAGGGGAGCGAACUGGAUUAGAUACCCAGGUAGUCCUGGCCGUAAACGUUGGGUGCUAGGUGUGGGCGGACAUCGACCCCGUCCGUGCCGAAGCUAACGCAUUAAGCACCCCGCCUGGGGAGUACGGCCGCAAGGCUAAAACUCAAAUGAAUUGACGG
rnacentral:rRNA from 1 species